rnacentral:siRNA from 1 species
UAUAUGUUAAGGCUUUGAAUGGAU